rnacentral:lncRNA from 1 species
CAAUGACGUCACACGAUAUUUUGCGUCAUCUGGCAUUUCCAAUGUCUCUGGGAGGAAAACAUCCAUUGCAGCUACUCGAUUAGCGCGUGGAAAGUGGCCGAUCUCUCUUUAAGCAGACUUGGCGAGACUGUUUUCUUGGUGACAUCGGACAAGCGUCCAGUGUAGACGCAGCUGAGUGGCAUCCAAUCAGACAUUAUGUCACGAAUAGAAAAUGAUCCUAAGCGCCUUAAAACCUUCGGUUUUGGACUUAAAGCCUUUAAAACGUAUCCCGAGCUCAUCCCAGUGGUGUCCAUCUGUAGUGUUGCUGUGAUGAUGGCCACUUGCAUGACGUUGUACGCCCUCAGGAAGAAAACCGACGUCAGGAUUUUGAGAGGAAACAACAAACCCGCUCCAUGGGAGGAGAUAGCGCCUACAGAAAAGAGAAAGCUGAGGAUAGUCAACCCCAAGGUCUACCGCCAAAACAAAGAACUUGAGCAGCUGAGGCGAGAAAUCGGGAGCUACAAGCCGUAAUGGGCAUCAUCUUUCAUUUAACUCGCAUCACGUUUCAGGUUUCACGGUUCAGCCAUCAGUUCUGCUUUGGGGUUUGUUUACUGGAAGAGAACUCUCGACGCCCUCUUAAACUUCCUUCGUGAAGAUCGACUAUCUGAUCACCAGCCACACCUCUGCUGAUGUCGAAUUACUGUUAAGGCACGAUAGCCAGAAGGGCUGACAAAGCGUUGAAGACAACUGUCGUCUGUAUACUACUUCGCUGAUCCUUGGCUAUCAAAUCUGCAACAAUGUCAUAUUUACAUUUAUCGCAUGAUUACUACUGUCAAAAUUGUUUUAGCAUUUACAUAAGUGCCAGAGUUUCGUUGAAUUUUAGUCGUCCUAUUAACAGUCCAUAUUCGACUAAGCGGUGGAGUGGAGGAAGACGGCUAGUGUAUGUUUGACAAUUUCUUCCAGUACUAGCACGCUACUAGCCACAAACUAUACAAACGCAGCACAUCUUGUGCUAAGAUUUUUCUGUACCAAAAGAUGAUCUAACAACAAUGUAUUUGCAAAGUACGUAUGUAAAUGCAUUGCAAACUGCUGUUGGACGUUGCAGAUGAGCUAUAUGUAUUGCUCAUGUUGGUUCCCACAAAAAGGCAUGUAUUUUCAGCUGUGAUAGCUACUAAUUUGUACACUUUGUACAGUCUGCCAAAGACGUUAAUGUUGUUAUGGCUAAAUAAGUAAUCAAAACAUCUGCACCAAGUUUCACACAAAACUCAUUCUAGAAUGAGUGUAUGGAAAGCAACAACCAUGCCACCGCCACCACCACUAUCAACACCUGUAACAAUUACUUAAAGUAUCUCUAAAUGAACGACCAAAAAAAAUCAACAGAUUUCAAAUGCCACAGUGCAGACAUAAAUUUUUAUUAUCUCCUAAUAAUUUAAAAAUUCUGCAGGCAAAGCAUUUAGUUUAAAAAUGCUGAUAAAAUUUAUCAUAUGAUGGCUUAUCAAUAAAAACAAAUUUGAUAAUAAGCACUUUGCUGAACUGAGCAUUUUUUAACACACAGUUACAGUCUAUGAUAUCUUGUUACUAAUUUUUUUCAGCAUCAGCAAACAGUGACUUUCCAAUAAUAAAAAUAUGAUCAUAAUAGAUAGAGGAGAUGAUAGCACUAUGAAUAAUCUCUCUUACUUCCUCUCACAUACAAGCACACACACACUCUUAUUCAUGAGAGCUAACUGGCAAUAGAUACUGUUUGGAGCCAUCUGAGGUAAAAUAUUUGUUCUUAAAAUGGAAAAAAUAGAAAAGUGUCAGAAAAAGUGUCAAUUAUAAAAAAAAACCUCCAAACAGCUAUAAAUAAUAUUUUAAUGAUGAGCAUAGGGUAGAAAAAAAUAAUGCCUCCAUACUUCCACUGUACUUAAAUGCUUUGGGCUAGUUUUUACCAUACAAGAUUCAAUAAAUAAAACUGUCAUCGCAAA